GUUGGUGAACCAGCGGAGGGAUCAUUACCGAGUUAACAAACUCCCAAACCUUUGUGAACAUACCACUGUUGCUUCGGCGGGUUCGUCCCGGGCGCGCCCUCACAGGCGUGACCCGGACCCAGGCGCCCGCCGGAGGACCCCAACUCUUGUUUUUAUAGUGUCUCUUCUGAGUAAAACAAACAAAUAAAUCAAAACUUUCAACAACGGAUCUCUUGGUUCUG
rnacentral:misc_RNA from 1 species